GUCUACAGCCAUGCCACCCUGAACGAGCCCAAUGUCUGAUCUCGAAAGCUAAGCAGGGUCGGGCCUGGUUAGUACUUGGAUGGGAGACCACCUAGAAAGACCAGGGGCUGUAGGCA
rnacentral:rRNA from 1 species